GACGAACGCUGGCGGCGUGCUUAACACAUGCAAGUCGAACGAUGUCCAUGCAGUAGCAAUACUGCGGAAGACCUAGUGGCGAACGGGUGAGUAUCACGUGAGAAACCAACCCCGGUCUUUGGGAUAACAGUUGGAAACGACUGCUAAUACCGAAUGCCGUCGUUGCCUCGCAUGGGGCGAUGACGAAAGGGCUACCGGAUCGGGACGGUCUCGCGGCCUAUCAGCCUGUUGGGGAGGUAACGGCUCACCAAGGCUUCGACGGGUAGCUGGUCUGGGAGGAGGAGCAGCCACACUGGGACUGAGACACGGCCCAGACUCCUACGGGGGGCAGCAGUGGGGAAUCUUGCGCAAUGGGAGAAAGCCUGACGCAGCAACGCAGCGUGCGGGAUGAAGGCCUUCGGGUUGUAAACCGCUUUUACCAGGAACGAAAAUGACGGUACCUGGAGAAUAAGGUGCGGCCAACUACGUGCCAGCCGACGCAGUAA
rnacentral:rRNA from 1 species